UAAAGUGGCGAACGGCUGAGUAACACGUGGGCAACCUGCCCUUUGCACUGGGAUAGCCUCGGGAAACCAAGGUUAAUACCGGAUACUCCAUAUUUGUCGCAUGGCGAAUAUGGGAAAGCUCCGGCGGCAAAGGAUGGGCCCGCGGCCUGUUAGCUAGUUGGUGGGGUAGUGGCCUACCAAGGCAAUGAUGGGUAGCCGGGUUGAGAGACCGACCGGCCAGAUUGGGACUGAGACACGGCCCAGACUCCUACGGGAGGCAGCAGCA
rnacentral:rRNA from 1 species